GCACAUCAGCUCAGUCAGUAGAGCAUGAGACUCUUAAUUUCAGGGUUUUGCGUUUAAGCCCCAUGUUGGGCA